rnacentral:rRNA from 1 species
UACAGAGGGUGCGAGCGUUGUCCGGAAUCACUGGGCGUAAAGGGCGCGUAGGUGGCGCUCCAAGUCUGUGGUGAAAGCUCGAUGCUCAACAUCGAGUCGGCCAUAGAGACUGGAGGGCUCGAGCACUGUAGGGGCAGAUGGAAUUCCUGGUGUAGCGGUGGAAUGCGCAGAUAUCAGGAGGAACACCGAUGGCGAAGGCAGUUCUCUGGGCCGUAACUGACGCUGAGGAGCGAAAGCGUGGGGAGCGAACAGG